rnacentral:rRNA from 1 species
GUGGGGAAUAUUGGACAAUGGGCGCAAGCCUGAUCCAGCCAUGCCGCGUGAGUGAUGAAGGCCUUAGGGUUGUAAAGCUCUUUUGUCCGGGAAGAUAAUGACUGUACCGGAAGAAUAAGCCCCGGCUAACUUCGUGCCAGCAGCCGCGGUAAUACGAAGGGGGCUAGCGUUGUUCGGAAUCACUGGGCGUAAAGCGCACGUAGGCGGACCAUUCAGUCAGGGGUGAAAGCCUGGAGCUCAACUCCAGAACUGCCUUUGAUACGGAUGGUCUCGAGUAUGGAAGAGGUUGGUGGAACUGCGAGUGUAGAGGUGAAAUUCGUAGAUAUUCGCAAGAACACCGGUGGCGAAGGCGGCCAACUGGUCCAUUACUGACGCUGAGGUGCGAAAGCGUGGGGAGCAAACAGGAUUAGAAACCCUGGUAGUCC